AAUUGAAAAACCUUCAAUGACUAUAUCAGACAACAAGGUUAACACUAUUGUAAAGGAGAAACCAAACAUAAUGCAGCUGAAGAUGUCAGGCUUACAAUUUUCCAUGAAAUCCAAAGACAAA